ensembl:lncRNA
UCCCCCCAUUCUGAUGUUUAAGGUGAACAGGAACUGAAGCUGGACCUGUACUGUAACUGCAUGAUUUUGUGCAUUGUGCUGCUACCACAUGAUUGGCUGAUUGGAUAACUGCAUAAUUACACAGGUGUACAGCUGUUCCUAUUUAAAUGGAUGUUGGACAGCGUGAUAAGAGAGGAAAGAAUGUUCCCGUGGUUAGCAGUAAAGUGAAAGGAAAGGACCGUUUGACCGGCCGAGCCAGGAGAUGGGAUGCUAAAGAGGAAGCAGAGCAAUUACAGUUGGGGCCAGACACCAGCUUGGUGGAGUUUUUGGAGGAGCUGGAUGCUCUGUGUGAUCCUGAGUUCAACAGUAACAGUCCAGACACCGAGACCCAAGAAGCGGAAUCCACAGCAUCUGUGGAGACAGCUACAACCACCAGCUGUGUUUCUGCAGAUACAAUAAAGAGUCAGGUUAUUCCUUUAGACUCAGCCAACAAGAACACCUCCAACUCUAGAGGAGCUGAGAAGAAGGUCCGUUUUUUAGAAGACCUCAU